CGGGAAGGGCAUAGUCCGUGCCGUCCAAGGUUUUCAGGGUGACCCCCUGCUUCAUCCGCAGGUCGAUGUAGUCGUCAAUGGGAAUGCCGCGAAUGCCGAACGCAAAGUUCCAGAAGGGAGACGUCUUCAUGGUUCCUCUUUCGAAACUGUUAAUCAGUUCGAUGAUGCC
rnacentral:ribozyme from 1 species